rnacentral:lncRNA from 1 species
CUCAAAGGAUGCUGGCCAGCUCUGUGGUGGGAGCAGCCUGAAAGUCCCUGGGAUCUGGGAACUUUUAUCGUUCUGAGGAACAAGAAAAACAGAGACACCUGGAAAAGCUUUGCAGGAGGAGUGGCCACAGGUCACCUGGUAGCAUGUACAUGUCUGCAGGGCCCAGCUGAGUUCUGGGGGAUGGAAGGUGGCUCCAGGAAAUGGUGACCUGAGGAACAGAUGGCCCCAGAGCCCCAUGAAACCUGUAAAGGAGUCUAGAGCCCUAAGUUGCUUCUCUCAAAGGUCCUGCUGAUUUCCUGAUUAAAAGAUUAAAAGAGCCGGGCACAGUGGCUCAUGCCUGUACUCCCAGCUGUUUGCAAGGCCGAGGCAGGCAGAUCACCUGAGGUCAGGAGUUCGAGACCAGCUUGGACAACAUGGUGAAACCCCGUCUCUACUAAAAAUACAAAAAUUAGCUGGGCGUGGUGAUGUGUGCCUGUAAUCCCAGCUAUUCCGGAGGCUGAGGCAGGAGAAUUGCUUGAACCCAGGAGGCAGAGGUUGCAGUGAGGCGAGGUUGUGCCAUCACACUCCAGCGUGGGAACAAGAGCGAGACUUUGUCACACACACACGUACACGAAGAGUAAAAGUGAAUCAUUCCCAAAAAGAAUAGAUUUGGAUAUUUUCUCAGAAAUUUUCUCUUCCAAACCUGUAGCUGUUUACAGGUCCCCAUUACAUAAGGUGGCUUUUGAUCACUUUCAAUGCAAUGUACUUUCUGAUAUGUGAUAUGGAUUUAAAAUAACUCACAACCAACUUAUUAUAAGAAUGCACUCUCCUUUAGGACAUGGACAUUUGAGG